rnacentral:misc_RNA from 1 species
UGGACGCGCAAACUCAAUCACACGUACAUACACACGCACACGCAGAGAACACGCAAUGAAGAGGGCGUUCGAGGUGAUUUUCUAACGCCUACCACCAUUUCAGAAAGCACAGAAGUUGCCGAGCAGAUUUUCGUUUCAAGACAGCAAAUCAUCUCGAGUGUCUGUCAUGUGUCUUUAACUCUUUGCACUUCGUACACCUCUCAUCUUCCCUUCCACCUCUCCCGUGUAAUCCCAAUCCUUCCUCGUUCCUGUACGCUCUGGCAAGCGCAAAGUCCGGCGCGUUUUUUUAUUUGGUAGUGCUGAGCGAGUCUCUCUCUCCUUUUGUUGUUUUUUUUUUUCUGAAGCGUCGAAGCUUAUCGAUCGCAGCGAGCAACGUGUUGUGGAAACGGCGUGUGCGUGUUGUGUGCUUUCUUUCGCGGUUCUCCGUUGGGUAGCGUGAGUCUCCCUUUGCCGCUCGUAGCCGAGUUCCAUCUCGUGGACGCGCUUGACUGGAGCACCGUCUACCCUUUCGUACUUGCCAUUUUUUCCUUUCUCCUUUCCCCCGGGCGACUUGUUUGCAUCCUCAGCUCUGUGCCAUCAACUGUCGUAGUGUUCGUGUCUGUCAGUCUGUGUGUGUGUACCCGGCACAGUUUUUUUUUUACAUUCUAUUUUACUAUCUUGUUUCGUUUUUCAAGGGCUGCCUAUCGAGCUCUCUCACCAUAUUGUCUGUGUGUGCGUGUCCUACAGCUUCCCUGCAUCUCUAUUGCCCGGUGUAUUUUAUCUCCACAAAGCCGCCUCUGCCGUUGCUGCCUUGGUUUCCUUCUUGAUUCGCUCUCUCUCUCUCUCUGUGUUUUGCCUUCCUCCGUCUCCGCCAACAUUUCUGCCAUCUUUUUUUUUGUGUGUGUGUGCCCGUUCACUGGGGGCUUCGCUUUUUUUAUUUGCUGUUGUUGUUUGGAGGUCUCGCCGGACCAAGCGGGAGAAAAUCGUUGUUGGAAAGUGGCGCUACUUUAGAUUCUUCCUGCCGCGCUCUUUAUUCUCCACCCCGUCUUUCUCCUUCUGGCUCCUUUUUUUUGUGAUUCAGGUAGCGUAACGCACACACAUACAUACACAGACUCAAUUAUGUCUACACAAUCAUACGCCGACUCCGAGAAUGACGUGGUGACCGACAACCUGUCCUUCGCCUCGCACAUCUCGACCUCUGGCCGUUGUGCGCCGGCCGAUGUCGAGUCUAUCGCUCAGGCCAUCGCGAGCACGAGUCGCCGCCCAGAAGACGGUGCGCCGUCCACUAAUGAUGGCGAGGAUGCGGGGCUUGGCAUGACCGAAGACAUCUCAACCAUGGAUAUUGUGAAGAAGUUCUUUUUUGUGGGCUACCCGCUGACGCUUUCGUCGCUGGCGCAAUUCUCGCUGAACCUCAUCAUUAUCAUGGUGAUUGGGCGGCUGCUAGGCCUCGAGGCCAUGGGCGGCGUGUCCCUUGCUCUGGGGCUGGUGAACGCCACUGGAUUCGCGUUCGGUGCUGGGCUGUGCGGCGCACUGGAGACGGUACUGUCGCACACCUUCGGACACUUCCAGCAGGAGGAGAACAAGCGGCUGGCGCAGGCAAAGACGGAGGCUGAGCGGACGGGCACCGCGGUGGAGCCGCAGGUGUCUUGCACACUUCACAUGUACGGCAUCUAUGCUCAGCGCAUGUCCAUUAUUCUCAUGGUGGCUUCCGUGCCGCUAGGGUUCGUCCUGUGCUUUGCUGAUGCGCUGCUCACUAUUGCUGGCGAGAGCGCCGCCGUAGUGCACUACACAGGCAGGUGGUGUCGCUGGGCAGUAUUUGGAAUUCCUGCAGCCAUGGCGUUUCAGCUUAUCCAGCGGUACUAUUCGUGCCAGCACCUGACGAAGCCGUUGCCUGUUGCGCUGUUUUCCGCUGCCGUUGCCAAUCCCAUUCUGCAGUUCAUCUUUGUGAAGCUCUUCGGCUUUGCAGGCUCGCCGAUUGCGUGGCUGAUAAUGAUGACCGGCGUUGUUGCGGGACUCGUCUACUACCUACGGUACACCGGUCGUGACAAGCUGACAUGGGGUGGGUGGGACAUCCGCUGCGCGCAGAACCUUAACAGCCUCGUCAAAAUUGCCCUGCCUUCUAUGGGCAUGAUGCUCAGCGAGUGGGUUGCCCUUGAAGUGAAUGCGCUUGCCGGUGGCUACGGAACGGCUGCGGAGCUCGGUGCGUACACGAUCACUCUGCAGGUCUUCGGUAUUAUGUGGGCCAUGGGUUCCGGUGUGAUGAUAUUGACUUCUGUGUUCGUGGGCAACGCCAUCGGCGAGGGCAAGCCGCUUCUUGCGCGGCGCAUUGCUUUUAUCGCACUGGCUGUUGUGCUGGGCAUUGCCACUGUUGAUGUCGUGCUGUGCCUUUUCCUGCAACCCUUUAUCCCAUCAUUUUUUGUCCAGACAGAGGAGGUGGACGCGGUAGCAGCCAUCUACCGGGAGCUGAUGUAUGUGGUGAUGCCGUACCACUUCGUCGACGUUUUCCAGAGCACUGUGAUGGGUGCUCUGCGUGGGUGUGAGCUGCAAAAACUCGGCGCGGUUAUCAUCACCGUGGCGUUCUGCGCGGUGGGGGUCCCGCUAAGCUUCCUUCUGUUCUUCUACUUUAAGAUCGGCAUUAGGGCGCUGUGGAUUGGGCCGUUCACUGGCGUCGCCGUGGUGGGGACGCCUGCGUACAUCUACAUCCUUCUACGGUACAUCAAGUGGGAAAACCUGAAGCCUCACGUUGACAACGCCGCGAAACUGGGGGAGACAAAAACUGGUGACGUUCGUACUCGUGCCAUCAGCAACCCUGCUGAGGUACCGCUGGAUAACGCAGUCGCUAGUGUGGAAUCCCCACAGGUUGUAGCGGUGCGGCGGUUUGUCAAUUCCCCCACGCCGAUCACAAUUGUGCAGGUCCCGACUGCCGCUUCCAUUGCUGAGAAGUCUCAGCAGGAGAGCCGGCACCCGUGCAUGCCGUCGUGAGAGAGGCGAGCUGGCGGCCGGGGGCGUUUGUUUGUGCGCGCCGACUCUUGUGAUACCCUGCUUCGUCGUUCCUGCGCCACCGCCCCGCCCCCCUCCCUUCACCGUUGACGGUGGUGUGGGCGUGCUUCUCUGUUGUUGUGUUUUUUUUUGUGUCUCUGCGGUACUG